GCCCUGUCAAAACAGACCAUUGGCUCUACCAAUCAGCAGGAUGUGGGUUGGGCCAGAUAAGAGAAUAUAAGCAGGCUGCCCGAGCCAGCAGUGGCAACGCGCUCGGGUCCCCUUCCACACUGUGGAGGCUUUGUCCUUUCGCUCUUUGCAAUAACUCUUGCUACUGCUCACUCUUUGGGUUCACACUGCCUUUAUGAGCUGUAACACUCACCGCGAAGGUCUGCAGCUUCACUCCUGAAGCCAGCGAGACCACGAACCCACCAGAAGGAAGAAACUCCAAACACAUCUGAACAUCAGAAGGAACAAACUCCGGACACGCCGCCUUUAAGAACUGUAACACUCACGCGAGGGUCCGCGGCUUCAUUCUUGAAGUCGACAGAGUCUUGCUCUGUCGCCCAGGCUGGAGUGAUGAGGCGCGAUCAUCACUCCACCUGGGCUCACUGCACCUCCGCCUCCCGGGUUCAAGCGAUUCUCCUGCUUCAGCCUCCUGAGCAGCUGGGAUUACAGAGUCCCUGUCAUCCAGACUGGAGUGCAGUGGUACAAUCCCGGCUCACUGCAACCUCCACCUCCUGGGUUCAAGCGAUUCUCCUGUCUCAGCCUCUCAAGUACCUGGAAUUACAGGCAUGUGCCACCGCACCCCAUGUAAUGUCCCGAUCUUGAUGGAUGCACUCUGGUUAUAGAAAUGUCCUCAUUUUAAGGAAAUACAUGCCAAAGUAGUAAAGGCUCAUGGGGCAUCAUAUUUGCAACUGUUCUCACCUGGUUCAGAAAGGAAUACAACCAACCUCUUCAUCACAUGAAGACAUUUUUUUCAUGCUUUUCCAUGUUCCUGAAAUGCCCUCCCCUAGGAGCUUCCUCCAAUUUAUCUACUCUUUCACAUUCAAGAAGAGUUGAAUCAAGAUGUUUAAGUCUCUGGAGAGUUAAGUAUUUUGUAGGAGGAAGAAUAUCAAGGUUGUGGAAAAAAAAAAAAAAAAACCUUGUUGUGGCUGAGAAACUGGGCUGGAGUCAGGAGGCUGGUGAUGGCCCCAGUUCUACCACUAACUAGCCAUGUGCCUACGAUGCUUCAUUUCACCUCUUGAGAUCUAAAUUUCCCCGUACGUCAAAGCAAAGAGACAGAUCUCGCUUUGUCGCCUGUCAACGGCUAGAGUGCAGUAGCGUGAUCAUAGCUUACUGCAGCCUCGAACUCCUGAGCUCAAGCAACCCUCCCUCCUCAGCCUUCCCAGGUCUCCUGAUUUCAAGUACAGUUCUUGCCAACACACAGUGGUAAAGGGUAUGAUUACCUAAGCCUUAGCACAGAAGGUAGCACCCCUUACUGGUGAGCUAUCAUGAAACUAUGCGACAAUUUUCUCCAUCUUUUUUAGAGUUGUUUUCCUUGUCUUCCUCCUCAUCACGAUUAUUAUUGCUUUUUCAUUCAGCAAAAAAUCUGGUAGGAGACUGCACAGAAGCAUGAUCACUUGCUAUCAACAGUGUAACCCUACCUAACUUCCCUAAUCCCUAGCAAAUGAAGGAAAAAUCAUAUACAGGCACUGACAAAUAGCAACACAAGAAAGGGCAACAAAAUUACUAAAGAGUAACGCCAUCCUCCCCAACUCAAACCAGGGAAAGUAAGCUUGCCUAGGAACUUAGGCUGAAACUCACCACAGUGCCAAAAACCUGUUUUCUUGAAAAGAGGUAGUGCAGAUAGUGAAUCCACUGAGCCACAUAGGGUGGGAGUUUGCUUUAAGUGCUUUUCUUCUUGCCCACAAACUAGCGUAGGCUGUGACUGGCUCCAGCUGAUCCUUAUCAAGGCAGCUAGUUCUGAGGGCUUGGUUAAGAAGCUCUUCGUUUAUCGCCCUAUCACUUUCACAUCAAACUGGGGGUACUGUCCUUUGAACAGAAGACUCAUGAGGAAAGCGCAGAUUCCUUCCAGGUGGGAAGAAAGCUUUGUCCCUGCUCCAUGUCUGCUGAUCUGCAGGAAGCAGAGAGAGCAGGGCUGUUCGACUCCGUUUCCCUAAUGAUGUCCCAGCCUCUUUCAGUUCUGUGAGCAAAACCAAGGCUGGGUUUGUUAGCACAGCCUGUGACAGAGCCUGGGCAGGUCCUUGUAUUCUGGCAAAGGCUGAACCAAAGAGCAGUCUCAUUGCACUAUUUACUUUCUUUUUGUUAUACUCUCUCUGGCUCAGCACAAUCAGUGCAGUCCGAUGCUGCAGAAGACAGACUGUUCCCUCUCUCUUCCCACAGUGUUUCUCGUCUACCUUUUGCCCUUAUUCAAUAGUGGGAAGAAAUUUCUUCUUGACCUCAGCAAUCCUUUCUGACAAUUACCAUAUGCCUCAAGAGACCUGGGAAGCUUCGCCCUGUCUGGCACAGGGAGACAAUUCCUAUCCAGAAUAAAACUGAAAGCUUUCAAAAAAAAAAAAAAAAGAAGAAGAAGAAAAGAAAGAAAGAAAGAAAGAGAAAAAGAAAGAAAGGAAAGAAAGAAAGACUGUAAUAAGUUACCUUGUCUCUGGGAGAUUCUGUAACAAUGAAUUGCACAGGCUAAUUAUCCCCUCUAUUAAAAAGUUUUUAAAAGGUUCCUCUUCAUCAUUUAGAGUAUGUUGCCUUGGCACCGGCCUGGAGAGGGUUAGCACAGGAGCCAGGCUGAGUUUAAUUAAAGAAUUUCCGUGUGUCAGCAGCAGGAGACUUUGAUUAAAGUGAGAAGCAGCCAAGAUUCCGGGAAGCGCGUCUUUCUCCUGUCUCCUCCCCAAGAUGUGCGGGUGUCCUUCCCCCAACACCAUGGAAGAAGGGGUCCAGGAAGAAAAUGUCACACUUGCCUGUGACCCCCACCUGGUCUGCAGAAAGGCAGAGAAGACCUGCUUAUGGAGGAAAAAGACGGCCUCUGUCUGGAGCUUCUAUGAAUUACAUAACGAAUAAGUGAUUUCACUACAAAGCAGUGAAAUUUUUAAAAGUUAACCAGUGGCAGAAGUGUCAGGACAGUCUGCACGGGCAAGAAUGAUACCUAAAUCACUACUCAGGCACAGGAGAGAGCAGGACUGGCAUGGCUGGCAGUUCUCUAUGUAGCAGGCGCUGUACUUUGGCCAAGCCAAUCUCCAUUUGCAACAUGUUUCUCCCUUACUUGACUCCACUAUAGAGAGAGUAAAAGCUAAAUUUUGAUGUUCCACCCCCACCCCCUUAUUGAUAUGAGAAAUAAGUCUUCUGGUGCAUUCCUCUCCAAUUUCUGUCUUCUUUCCACUUGAGCUGCCAGGAGAUGCAACAGUCGUUUUGAAACCAAAAAGAUAAAAACUGCAUACUAAGAAUGCAUGAACCUAAAGAUUUACAGAGCCUGGGACACUGGGGAUACUUGGAGUCAAUGUAUCAGCCUUGGACUGAUUCCCAUGGGACUUCUUAUUACCCAAGUGAAACAGUCCUUCCUUUCAUCUGUUAAGCCACUAUGGUAUGUUUUGCUGGUUCUCGUAGCCAAAUACAGUUUUGACUGCUAUACCCAUUUUUUUCUUAUGGAUGUUCAUGACUUCUUUUAUAUUGUGGAUUGUAUUGUGAAUAUGUAUCUUAUUUGUUGCAAAUAUUUUCUCAGUCUUUUUGUCCUUUAAUUUAAGAUAUUAUUCAAUGCUUGUAAGGUUUUUAUGUUUAUGCUGUUAUAUAUAUCCAUUUUUUCUGAUUUAUUCAAUUGAAAAAUUGAGAAACGUAAUUGAUAAUUUUGAACAUUAUCGAAGAAGACAUCAAUAAAACAAAACAUAGUCUAGCAAUUACAAAACAGAAAAACAGCAAUGAAGUUUUGUUUGGUUUGGUUUGGUUUUUUGAGACAGGGUCUUGCUCUGUUGCCCAGGCUGGAGAUCAGUGGCGUGAACACAGCUCACUGCAACCUUGACCUCCUGGGAUCAAGCUAUCCUCCCGCUUCGGCCUCCCGUGUAGCCAGGCCUACAGGCGUGAGCCAUGACACCUGGCUAAUUUUUAAACUUUUUGUAGAAAUGGAGAUCUCAUGUUGCCAAAGCUGAUCUUAAAUUCCUGGGCUCAAGUAGUCCUCCCGCCUCAGCCUCCCAAACUGCUAGGGCUUCAGGUAUGAGCCACCAUACCCAGACACAGUGAAAUAUAAAAAUAUAUAUUACAUAU
rnacentral:lncRNA from 10 species